rnacentral:rRNA from 2 species
UCCGGUGGCGAUGCGUUUUGGGGACACACCCGUACCCAUCCCGAACACGAUGGUUAAGACCAAAACGGCCGAUGAUACUUGGUUGGAGACGACCUGGGAAAGCAGGUGGCUGCCGGAU